UACGGAGGAUCCGAGCGUUAUCCGGAUUUAUUGGGUUUAAAGGGUGCGUAGGCGGGCUGUUAAGUCAGCGGUGAAACCCCCGGGCUCAACCCGGGGACUGCCAUUGAAACUGGCGGCCUUGAGUACGUUGGGAGUGCGCGGAAUGUGUGGUGUAGCGGUGAAAUGCAUAGAUAUCACACAGAACACCGAUCGCGUAGGCAGCGCGCUACGCCGCAACUGACGCUGAGGCACGAAGGCGCGGGGAUCGAAC
rnacentral:rRNA from 1 species